UUGCAGCUGAGCUCGAGAAGUUUCUCCCGUGAGAGAUCCAUAUAUCAAAUGUUACGAAAGUGACAAUGCUCUUUAUUCGGGCUUCUAAAUACCUUGUUCAUCACGCGAUGAUGUGGUCAUAAUUUUU
rnacentral:snoRNA from 1 species